CCUGGCGCGAAUGAAUGAGCCGAUUCCCGAUUAGCUAGUUGGCGGGGUAAGAGCCCACCAAGGCGACGAUCGGUAGCUGGUCUGAGAGGAUGAUCAGCCACACUGGAAAUGAGACACGGUCCAGACUCCUACGGGAGGCAGCAGUGGGGAAUAUUGGACAAUGGGCGCAAGCCUGAUCCAGCCAUACCGCGUGGGUGAAG
rnacentral:rRNA from 1 species